UUCACCAGUUUCUCUGCACGAAUACCGGGAGAAACCGAGCGGUGUUCUUCGUGUUCUUCAUAAUCAAACGAAGAUUUGAAGGCGUUAUUGGAAUCCGAUGGAGGCGUAUGAAUAGUCAAAACGAAGCUCUCGACGCGUAGAAUAUAGAUUAAUCGACCAUAACAGUGCAGAUGUAUCAGUAUUUGGACGAGACUUGUACGCUCGAAGACGUCAGGAAGUCGAAAUGGUAUUGCAAGGCGAAUAAGGGAUGAAUCGAGUAAGCGAAGCGAUGUGGCGAAUAGAGUACGGCUAGAGAUGGUCUAGAAAUUAUGAUAUGGAUAGAUUGUGAAAGUGGAAAGAUGAGAUAGAGAUGUGAGACUGGAGUCAGAUUUAAGAAAGGAUUAAAGAUGAAUGGCUAGUCUAUGAUUGCGAGUAAAGCUAAGGCUAGGCGAGGAGUGUUCAGGAAAGUUGAUGAGGUUGGUGCAAGCUAGAGCUGUGCUACAUAGAUUCAAGUGCAAGUCAUAGCUGGAAUAGUUGACAGUGAUUCUUCUUAUCGAAGAUGAUCUGAUUUGGUAAGAGAUGUUGUGUAAUAAUAGUGGUAGAUUCUAAUUUCAAUACUGUAACCUGGAUGCGAUCCUGUUGUUUUAGGGGGUACAAAUGUUCUCUUUCGAAUCUUUUAUUAUGGCUUUCAAGUUUUGAAAUUCAGGUUUUGAAAUCAUUUGAUUAAUAUUCUCUUUCAGAUCUUUUAAUAAAUCUUUUUGUUUUCAAAUUAUUUGAAUUUCCAUUAUCAAAAAAAAAAUAUACAGGUUUCCAAAGUGUUUUAAAAAGGUUUUUGUGUGGUGACGUCAGGAUCCAGACCCCCGGAUUCUCGGACUGUCACAGUUGGUAUCAGAGCGACAGGUUAUAAGUAUUUGAAAUUGGAAUAUAGAUCAUGGUUAUAGGUUUUCUAGAGAAGAAUGUGGUGUGACCUCAUGUAGAGGUAUUGUGAGACUAUCUGGGAAUAGUUUAGAGAUGUGACAGGAAUAGAAUCUAGUUAGAUGAUUAAGUUGAGUGUAUAAGGUUAGAGAGAUUUUGAUUCCUAAGUUAGACAUAUGAUUUCUAGUAUGUUGACUCAUUGAGAUGUUGAAUUGUGAGGAAGGUCAAGAUUAGACCUAGAUAGAAGAGUUUGAUAGUGAAUGAUUGAGUUAAGAAUGGUGAAAAUGCAGAGUUCAGAGUAUUCUGACUAUACUGCAUAGUUGAAAAUGGUCUAGUGUAUUGAUUUGAAAAUGAUAAAGAUGCAUGGUUCAUAGUAUGUUGACCAUGUCAGAUAUUUGGAAGAUGUAUAUGGUUUUAGUAAGAUAUGAAGAGUUAGUGUAGAAUAUGAGUUGUGUUGAAUUAGAAGGAGAGAUUAGUAGAUAGAGGUUGAUAGAUGAGAAGUGCAUGAUAGAGAGUAUGUGGAGUUGAGUCCAGUUAUUAGAGGUGAUGUGUGCGAGUAAGUUAGAACGUUAGUCCUCGGCGAUGACGCUUUAAGUUAAUCGGGACUUUAAACGACAUCGAGGUGGGCCCAUAACCCACAGGUUGGCGAUCCAUACAAUCGAUGAUAUGUUACGUGUUUUGCUAGUGACUUCACAGAUAAUGGGGAUGAAGUGGAGGCCAAGACUUAUUACGAACGAUAACGUCUACUAUGAAUUUUACGAGGCUGCUACGAACGAACGUCAAUCGACUAUCGAGAACGUUGAAAGGAAGACAUGAAUCGAAUAACGAUUUCGUAAAGCAUAGUGGGAAUUUGAGAAGACCUUGGCAAUACCUCUCUUCAACUAAAGAUUCUUUUGAUUAUGUUCUUCAUCAGUGAGUUAUUAUGAUAUCAUUUGGAUAAAUGAGAUUUUCAAUUUCUCACAUUCUAAGAUGAUAAUGAUAUUGAUUAUUGGUGUGAGUUGGUAUUGAAUCGGUGUAUGAUAAAGGCGUGUUUAUGACGAGACAGUGGAAUUCCUUGAUAUUAUUUGAUAUUCUUUGAUAUCCCUUGAUAUUCUUUCAUAUUCUUUGAUAUCCCUUAAUAUUCGUUGAUAUUCUUUGACACUCUUUGAUAUUCCUUGAUAUCUUUUCAAUAUUCCUUAAUAUAUUCCUCGAUAAUCCUCAACAUUCCUUGAUGCUCCUUGAGAUUUCUUGGAUUCUUUCCAUCUGAUUGGGAUGAACAACCCUGUGUAUAGGGGACACAAGGUAUACCUGUCUGUGUGAUAGGAGUUGGAUGGGACGCCAUCACUUGUGUGUGUUGUGAUUACAAGAAGGUUAACAACCUUUAGUAGUGUCUAAUAUGGACACGCAACAUUAAGUUCAUUUGAUCGUAUUGAUCUCCCAGUCACUCUUGUAUUUCAAUGUGACCUAUUUUGAAAACACCUUAUUCUAUUCGAAAAUUCCCAAAGAUCGAUUCUUGGGAAAUGAAUUUUACAAUCGCGAAAGUUUGAUUUUCCUUUUCCAUUAAAGUUAAAGGUAUGCCAAGAUCAAUCAAAGGUGGAUGACGAUAUGAUAUUACGAAGUGUGUACGUUUUAGUUUCUUCGGAGGAUUCCGAGGACGGAAUCCUUAUAAGGGGGGUAGAAUGUAAUAUCCCAUAUUAUUAAAUUCAGAUUUUAUUAUUAUAAAUCUAUUUGUCUAGAUAUUAUUGUUGUCUCUAGUUGAAUAUUGAUGUGAUUAUGUGAAUAGUUGUAUGUGAUUAUACUUGUUUUGUGGAUUAAUAUGGAUUUUACAGAUUUUGCGUCCUCCUUCUUUCUUUGAUUCCGAGGACGGAAUCCCUAUAAGGAGGGUAGAUUGUAAUGACCCGGAUUUUUUAAAAUUUAUUUAAUAUUAUG